GACGAACGCUGGCGGCGUGCCUAAUACAUGCAAGUCGAACGCAGUGGGGACGGGUGAGUAACACGUGGGUAACCUCCCAUCAGAGGGGAUAACACUUGGCAACAGGUGCUAAACCGAUACUGAUGGAUGGACCCGCGGUGCAUUAGCUAGUGGGUGAGGUAACGGCUCACCAAGGCCACGAUGCAUAGCCGAUCUGAGAGGGUGAUCGGCCACACUGGGACUGAGACACGGCCCAGACUCCUACGGGAGGCAGCAGUAGGGAAUCUUCGGCAAUGGGCGAAAGUCUGACCGAGCAAUGCCGCGGGAGUGAAGAAGGUUGUCGGGUCGUAAAACUCUGUUAUUAGGGAAGCGGUACCUAACCAGAAAGCCACGGCUAACUACGUGCCAGCAGCCGCGGUAAUAC
rnacentral:rRNA from 1 species